GAUGAACGCUAGCUACAGGCUUAACACAUGCAAGUCGAGGGGAAACGACAUCGAAAGCCUGCUUUUGAUGGGCGUCGACCGGCGCACGGGUGAGUAACGCGUAUCCAACCUGCCCACCACUUGGGGAUAACCUUGCGAAAGUAAGACUAAUACCCAAUGACGUCUCUAGAAGACAUCUGAAAGAGAUUAAAGAUUUAUCGGUGAUGGAUGGGGAUGCGUCUGAUUAGCUUGUUGGCGGGGUAACGGCCCACCAAGGCGACGAUCAGUAGGGGUUCUGAGAGGAAGGUCCCCCACAUUGGAACUGAGACACGGUCCAAACGCCUACGGGAGGCAGCAGUGAGGAAUAUUGGUCAAUGGACGAGAGUCUGAACCAGCCAAGUAGCGUGCAGGAUGACGGCCCUAUGGGUUGUAAACUGCUUUUAUAAGGGAAUGAAGUGAGUCUCGUGAGACUUUUUGCAUGUACCUUAUGAAUAAGGACCGGCUAAUUCCGU
rnacentral:rRNA from 1 species